ACCUUUUGUAUAAUGGGUCAGCGACUUAUAUUCUGUAGCAAGGUUAACCGAAUAGGGGAGCCGAAGGGAAACCGAGUCUUAACUGGGCGUUAAGUUGCAGGGUAUAGACCCGAAACCCGGUGAUCUAGCCAUGGGCAGGUUGAAGGUUGGGUAACACUAACUGGAGGACCGAACCGACUAAUGUUGAAAAAUUAGCGGAUGACUUGUGGCUGGGGGUGAAAGGCCAAUCAAACCGGGAGAUAGCUGGUUCUCCCCGAAAGCUAUUUAGGUAGCGCCUCGUGAAUUCAUCUCCGGGGGUAGAGCACUGUUUCGGCAAGGGGGUCAUCCCGACUUACCAACCCGAUGCAAACUGCGAAUACCGGAGAAUGUUAUCACGGGAGACACACGGCGGGUGCUAACGUCCGUCGUGAAGAGGGAAACAACCCAGACCGCCAGCUAAGGUCCCAAAGUCAUGGUUAAGUGGGAAACGAUGUGGGAAGGCCCAGACAGCCAGGAUGUUGGCUUAGAAGCAGCCAUCAUUUAAAGAAAGCGUAAUAGCUCACUGGUCGAGUCGGCCUGCGCGGAAGAUGUAACGGGGCUAAACCAUGCACCGAAGCUGCGGCAGCGACGCUUAUGCGUUGUUGGGUAGGGGAGCGUUCUGUAAGCCUGUGAAGGUGUGCUGUGAGGUAUGCUGGAGGUAUCAGAAGUGCGAAUGCUGACAUAAGUAACGAUAAAGCGGGUGAAAAGCCCGCUCGCCGGAAGACCAAGGGUUCCUGUCCAACGUUAAUCGGGGCAGGGUGAGUCGACCCCUAAGGCGAGGCCGAAAGGCGUAGUCGAUGGGAAACAGGUUAAUAUUCCUGUACUUGGUGUUACUGCGAAGGGGGGACGGAGAAGGCUAUGUUGGCCGGGCGACGGUUGUCCCGGUUUAAGCGUGUAGGCUGGU
rnacentral:rRNA from 1 species